CGCUUCCUACAUACACCCAGGCACUACUAGUCUACCUUCUGGAACUUACAGUGUCAAAACAAUUUUUAAAUUUUAUUCAUAAUAUAUAGAUACAGUGCUGUAAAUGCUAGGUGUUACAGGCAUUUUUCAAACAUUAACUCCUUUAGUACUCCCCAUGGCCUUACAAAGUAGGUACGCUUAUCAUUACUGUCAACUGACAGAUGAAGAAACUGAGGUACCAACAAGGUAAGUAACUUGAUCAAUACAAAUAACCAGUAAGCGAUUGAGUUGGAGUUUGAACAUAAGAUGUCGGCUCAUAUUCUAUGCUCUUAACCAUGAUAUUUAAUCUCUAAAGACUUCACAUCAUGAAAAAAUUGGAUCAAUUUAUCCAUUUUCUUGAUAUAUCCCAUAGCCACACUAUUUUGUCUGAAUAAUACCUAUAGAGAAACUAUUGUACAUACACACCCAAAUUACUUCUGCCAGCAUCCCCACUUCCUAAAAGUUAAUACAGAGAACAUUUCAAAACAUUUCUUGUCCUGGCUGGGAGGACUCUGAGAAAAUCUCAUUGUUCAUCUAAUUAGCCAAGGGCUGGCUGGGAGUUGGGUCUCAGGGGAAAGGUGACCUCAGGAGAACCACUGAAUUACCAAAUUGCUGGGAGGAUCUCAGCAGUAACUGAAUUCAGGAUCUGGUGGUGUUUCAACCUGGGUGCCUGGUGUAACCAGGAUUUGCAUCUGCUUCAGACAAAGCAGACAGCCCUUCCUCAUGGACUCAACUUUAUCUAAAUGUGAUCAAGACAAAAGAAAUAAUGUCAUGCACCUCUGGAUGUGAGACUGUGCUGGGAGGUUCUGAAAGGCCUCACUGAGGUGAUUAUUUGCUGUAGCCAGAAUGACAAGUGUAAGCCACCCUUGCCUAUAUCUGGGAACAGUUAGCAUGUCAGGGAGAAGGUACCCCUGGUGCAGAGAUUCACAGGAAGAAGUGAGUUUGACCAGAGGAGGUCAGAAAGGUGGCAGGUGUGGCUGGAGGGAGCCUGAGAAGAGAGAGGAGGGUGAGAGGGCCAGAUCGUGGGACAUGGUGGACUGUGUUAGUUUCUGUUCCUCUAUGACAACAUUGCUCCAAAACCUUCCACCCAUAAGGAACAAACAGUUAACAUCCUGCACUUUCUGUGGGCCAGGCAUCAGGCAGAGCUUAGCUGGGUGCCUCAGCUUCAAAUUCUCUAUGAAGCAGGGGCUGCAGUCUCAACAGGGCUCAACUGGGGGAGGACUCCCACCCAAGAUCGCUGACAUGGGUGUUGUCAGGAUUCAUCUGGACUGAGAGUCUGAGUUCCUGCCUGUCUGUUGGCUGGGCACCCCCUCAGUUCUCUCCUAUGGAGCCUCUACACAGGGCAACUGAAAGCAUCGGUGCUUGCUCUCUCAGUUCCAGAGAUAAGACAGAGAGAGAGCUGCAAACAGGAGAGGAGGAGGGAACCCAAGAAUGCCUGUAAGAAGGAAGUGACAGGCUCUUCGUAAUUAAAACUUGGAAGUGACAUCCCAUCACCUUGGGGCAUUCUGUUGAUCAGAAGCCAGUUACUAACCACUUAGCUGUCACAUAAGGACGUGCACUCCAGGAGGCAGGGAGCACUGGGAGCCAUUGUGGAGGCUGCCCCACACACAGGCCGACAUGAGGCACUUGGGUCUGAUUCUAAGUAAAACAGGAGACCAUGGGAAACUUUUGCCAGUGGAUCACAAUAUAUGAAUUUCUUCUAAUUUCAACCCCUGAAAAGUGCAGACCUGAAAAUGAGGCCCAGGGGGGCAGUGACUGUCCCAAUCUUCCAUCUUCCAUCUCUAAGUUUCUGUAUCAGACACAUGUGACUCUAACCCACAGAAGUUAUAGGUAUUGUCACAUACACACCUGAUGAUGUGCCUAGGAAAUUGGUUUUAGCACCAUCUCCACUGUGCAGGUUGGGAGACUGGGGAGGCCAUGAGAGGCACAAAUGGCUUUUCCAGGACUCAGAAUUGGUAGGAAAAAAGAGGUCUGAACUCAGCUGUGUCUCCUCAAAGCUAGGGCCCUGGUCCCAUUCCCAGAGCGCUGUGGGGAGGGCAGUGAUGGAUAUUUGUGUACAAUUAUGGAGAUGACAUGGGCAAGGGCGAUGAGCAGUCAACAGCCCAGAGGAGGCUUUGGGUGGGUCUGAUUGAAGGAAGGGGCCCAGAUAAUGGAACCUUGAGAAGUGGCCUCACUUCUUUGGUGACAGACCCCAACAGAACUUAGAACUUUGGUUACCAGGCACCCACAUUCUAGACACAGCCUCACAUCCAGCUCACUUGAAUGGAGGCACUCAAGAGAACAAGAUGUUUGCAUGUUGUGUCCCAACUUUCCGAAGCUCUGGCUUCUAGAAAUCUGACGAGAGCCUUUGUAGACAUUGAUUCAACUCUCACCUCUAACACCUCUGGCCUUUUGGCAGGAGGAACCCUCAGGCAACACAGGGCAACCCAGGGCAGGCCGCUCCAGGUCAGGUCACAACUGUGCUCCCACCUGGCCAGCCCCACACCCCUUGAUGCUCAAGGUGUGUGUGUGUGUUUGGGAGGUGCACUUAGGAAAGGUGGGGAUGAGGAGGGACACAUCCCGGGUAGGAGCAGGUAGUGAGAUGUUGGAAGUCUGGCAAUGGGUCAUCUUCAUACCCCACAUCUUGGCUGGCAGGGUAGGAAGUUGAGUGCUGGGGACCGAGCUCCUUUAUCCCUAUGUGAAUCCCAAGCCCACCAGGUGUCAUCACAUUCCAGCCCUGGCUGGAGGUCUAUGCAGGUGCCCCUCUGAGCCUGAUCUGUGGUGCGGGUUCCCCCUGGUGAGGUCCAGGCAGGCCCCUGAUCCCUCCUGGUCUUUCUCCCAGGCACUGUGUUUGCAGAGCUGCACCCACAAGAUGGUCACAUAGUUAGUGAAUGGUUUCGACUAUGCCGUCUCCCUGGACAGGGGGCGGGUGCUCCAGGCCACCAACAAUGACCCGGGCCGGGCUUAGUGCAGAGGGGUCUUCACACCCAGGACCCUGAGAUGACCGAGGCAGUACCAGAAUCCAGACCCAAAUCUGAGACUCCCCUGAGAUGCUCCCAGUGUUUUCUCACUAGAGUGUCCCACAGUCCCACUCCCAAAGGAAUCACGACCUCCCCUCCUCCCCACCAGCUACAUAGGCAGAAAGAAAGUAACCUCCAUCCUCCUAGUGGUUCACGGUGAUGCCACUGAUUUUUUGUGUGUCCCUCCUCCUUCCACCCAGAGUGAAGAUGACCCCUUUGUGAAUUUAAAUGAGGCCUGCAGGUGGCGGUCCCUCCAGCAGACCUGAUGGAGACUGACAAAGUCCAUGGCACCAGCUUUCCUAGGUAGAAACAUCUCAAAUGUCACCACCUUUGUGUUCAACUACUCGGCCUUCAACACAUCCCACCAGGUCCUGGACCAGCUGUUUACUGGGUGACUGCCCACUGCCAGCUGUAAUUCUUGUAAUGUCACUGCAUCUCCCUGAGCCUCACUUUGCUCCUCUGAAAAGUGGGGUGGGAGAGGAUAAACGUCAUGGGGUUCUUGGAGGGACUAAUGGGAUCAGCCAUGGCGGGUGCUGACCUGGUGCCUGGCUCUGCAGAUGUGGCUGUGGGGUGAGCUGUGGUUGUUCAUGGUUAUUAUUGGUUCUUCCUCAUGGAAAGUAGUCUGUCUCACCCGUCUCUGGGAUGUGGUCUUUCUGAGUUUGGCAAAGCACACGGACAGCACCCUGUCAAGGAGUUUGAGAUUCCAGAGAGAUGGUCCUGGUCCUUGUGCUUGGUGGGGCCAAUUAGGGAUGUCUGGGGAGCAGAGGGGCCCCAGGCCCACUCCGACAUCUGGGAUGCUUCUGGCUGGACUUCAUUCAUUCAACCAUGUAUGUGAAGCACCUACUAUGUGCAGGAUUUUUGGAGACACUUAGCAUAACUCAGUGAAUCCAGGUGUCCAACAGAUACAAUCCCUGCGUCUCAGUUGUAGUCUGAGAGUCAAAUAGUCACAUUAGACAUCAUUCGCAAGUCCUGUCAUCCAUCGCACAUCCCAAAUGGUGCUCUCGUCACCUCCUUUACAUCUGGAGGCAUCUUCCAUUAUCAAAACCAGGAGGGCAGACCACAGGAUGCCGGAAUAAAAUGAGUGGCCUCUGGGUCCAGAAGGAGGGCGCCCUGUCUCUACAGAACAGGGUUGGGGGAAAUGGGGGACUGUGGCUGGGGCCAGGCUGGCAAAACCCUGCAUCUCACACAUGUUUUGAUUCUCACUGGAAGGCUGAGGUCUGAUGGCUUCCAUUCCAGGAGGUCAGGAUUCAAAGACCUGUAGAUGGGUCCCAGGACCCCUGGGAACCAGAGUGGAGGCUGGGCUGGGCUGUCCCCUAGAGACCCAUCCCCACCAUAGUCCUAUCUUGAUCUGCCUCCCCUUCUCCACAUCCACUUCUUCGGACCACCCCCAGCAGGCCCAGAACAGGAGGUGUGUGAGCAACAUGGUCACACGUCUGCCUCAGUCCUCAGUCCAGUUGCAUAAAUGCAUGGAGGGCUGGGGUGGGCUUUGUCCAAGCCCUUCAGGAAGAGAGUGUCAGUGGGAAGAACAGACUCACACUGACUCUGUGUUCAACUUGCUGGUUGAGCAGUCCUGCCACCACCAGGACAGCCACACAGGGGCGGGACUGGGCCGGGGCUCUCCUCUGGAUGGGAAUGGGCGGGCACAGGGGCCCAGACCAAAUAAGGGCGCCUUCAGUGGGCAGUGUGGAGGGAAAGACCAGGCCUCUGACUCUGUUGCCCAAUGCCUUCCCCCAUUGCCGUCUCUUCGCAGAUGAAGCUGGCCCGUGUGCACGUGAGCUCGCCUACCUCAGAGCAGGAGGGCCACGCCUCCCUCCUCCCAGUCCAGCUGGAGUCCUCCAGAGCCCGUGGAGGCAGAGCUGGAAGGUGAGGGCCCUGCAGUGUGGGAAGACGAUUUGCAGGGGGUUCACGGGCUGGGUUCCCUUAAGGCAUUGGGGUCCUUCCUGUCUUUGGAAAGACUCAGGGGAGGUCAUCUACUUGAUGAUACUUUUUCUUUAUGCUGCUCCAGGACCAUCUCCAGAGCUCCCACCAGCUCCAGAGCCAGAGCAAGGGCCAGCUCCAUGGCCUGGGCCAACUCCAAUUCUAGUUCUACCACCUGUGCUAGAGCUGGAGCAAGUGUCACCUCCAUCAGUCCCCCCAGGGCCAGAGCCAUGCCAACAACAGCUCCAGCCCCAGUGCCAGAUCCAGCUGGAGCCCGCUGGACCCUUGUCUCCAGGGAGAACACUUCCUCCAUCUGGAGAGAUUACAUCAGAGCCCAUCCAGCCCAAGAGCCCACCUGCCCCCGGGCUGUGACCACCAAGAGCCUGCUGUGGGAGGAGAAGCCUGACUUCCUGGAGUUCCGUCCCCAGCUGAUUGCAGAGCAAUUUACACUGAUGGAUGCGGUGAGCAGCAGGGCUCUCAGGGCAGGUGGGGCGGGCCUUCCCUGUGCCAUCAGAGGCCCAAGACCUGCUGUUUCCUGAUCCAGAAUCCCAUGUCCUACAUUCAAUCCCAGCUUUCCCACUUACACACAUGUGCCCUGGGCAACCUCUUAACUCCCAAGCCUGUGCUGUCCGCAUGUGGACACUAGACAUGGACAAAAGAGCAUCUGCCAGGCAUAGCGGCUGUGCAGACGAAUGAGGCGGAACAGAGAGGAAGGUGGGCAGAGUCUGGCCCUUUGGCGGGGGAAGGGGAGGUCACUGAAGGGCUGUCAGGUCCUUGGGUGGGUCAUCCAUUUGCACAGGAGGCAUCAACAGCCUUAGCAAUUAUUAGGGACCUCAUAUGUAAUGACUACCUGGGAGACAAACAUACAAAGAUUGUGAUUGUUACUCCUUGGGAGGACUGCACAUCUGAAUGAGGAGUCGGGCCCCAGGGUGAUCAGAAAAGGUAGACGAUGCCCCUUGCGUUCGUCAAGUAUCAGCGGGGUUCUGGUGCCUGGAGUAGUGAGACUGGGCUGGGAGCGAAUGCCACUUUCCUUCCCCGCACUAUUGGUCCUGGGUCAUCCUGUGCUGGGUGCCCUCAGUGGGCACAGACAAAACCCAGGGACCCCCACAAGCCCCAGGCCACAUCCUCAGCUUCCUGAGCUCCAGCUCUGACCACUGACUCUGCCUGGGACUGUGGACUGUGGACAUGGAGCAGGCAUGUGACAGGGCUGGGUGACACUCUCUUCCUCCCCAGGAGCUGUUCAAGAAAGUGAUCCCCCCCACUGUCUGGACUCCGUCUGGUCCCCAUGGGACAGCAGGGGCAAUGAGCACCUGGCAUGCACCAUCCGUGCCACCAUCACCCAGUUUAUCACAGUGGUCAACUGUGUUGUCACCACCUGCCUGGGGGACCUGAGCAUGACAGCCCAGGACAGGGCCAGGGUGGUGGAGCUCUGGAUCCAGGUGUCCAAGGUACCUUCUGGGCGGCCCAGGGAGCCCCUCUCUGGAGUCAUGGAAACUGCCCCUUCUCCUUCCUCAGCUCUCAGGAUUGAAGUCUGUGCUCUGAGCCCUUGCACAGUCCCCAGGCCCCUCCUGCCGGGGCCUCACUGACCUUGACUCCUGUUCCCAGCGUGGGAAGCUCACUUCUUCCUGGGCUCCCUCCUUGGGUUGAGCUCAAAUUCUCCAACCUGGGAAUGCUACUCAUCAGGUCCCAGGGGUGCCCUCACUGGGUUCCUCAGCAUGCGUCUCAUCCAAGACAGGAGAUGUCCAUGAGGGAACAGAAGCCAGAGGCAGCAGGGCUCCAGCUCUCCUCACCAGCUCACUCUCUUCCCUGCCCCAGGAGUGCCAAGGCCUGAGGAACUUUGCUUCACUGCAUGCCAUCCUCUCUGCUCUGCAGAGCUGCACGAUCCAUCGGCUCAAAAAGACAUGGGGACACGUUUCCAGCAACAGAACUCUCCGUCCGGCUGAAACCACGACUGUUGAAAACACAUCUGCUGAGGAGUUACAGGAAUGGAGGCCCAGGUUUUCAUUCCUUUUCCCCCCUCGGGAAGAGCUCUCAAAAAUUUUACAAAAUUGUGCACCAAGGACCAGCGGGUGAGCAGGAAGCUGCUCAUGGAGGAAGCCAGGCCCCUGCUGCUCCUUCUGUCUUUGCUGCACGUCCAAGGACAGGGCACCCUGCCAGCCCCUGAGGUGGGCACUGCGUGGUCCCAUGGGCCAGGUGGACAUGAGGGCUGCCCAGCAUGGGAUGAAUGGUGGACCUGGGACAGAACUGUGUGCUCUCUGGGACUCCCCACUGUGCCCUGAUAGUGGUCACUGCUGACAUACCCAGUGGGGUUCUCACCUGCUGCCUUGUUGGCAGGGCACAUGCCCCAGAUGGCAAUGAGAGUAUCAGGGGAUCCAAUAGAUUCUUCGUGGACCUUCCUGACUGGAUGUUAGAAGUUUCCAAGAACAAAAAGGAAGCAAAUGUCACCAUCAACCAGUGCCCUGGUCACCCCGUAACUGUCACUCAGAUGUGGCACUAGGGGUCACCUUCCUGAGUGGAUGAAAAGAGAGUUGUGUUCAGGGGAACGUCCUGAGGGAUCCUAGGGAGCUGAGGCCUUUGGCAUCGCCUCAGGUAUAGCCUGGGGUCAGAGAAUCCCAGGGGGCUGGGACAGGUAGAUGCCACUUGGACAGGCCCUCUGAGACACCCUGCCCCUUGUCAUCCAUGGCUCAGCCUGGCUGAGGGUCUGCUCACACCCUGAGAGUCCAGAGGACAUGACCAUGUUCAGAGGUGUGUCUGUAGGUGGGGUGAAGGCAGAUGGACAGGGCCUCUGGCUGGGAGGGGAAGGGGUCUCUCCUCUGUGGGCCUCUGAGCAAGUCAAGCCCCUCUGUGAGCCUCGGUCUCCCCAUGUGGGACGUGGAGGGAGGUGAUCUGUGGUUCAAGCCCCACAAACGGGGGAUGAGGUUCAAGGGAGGAGAGGAAUGUGCAGGAGCUGUGUGCCGCCUCCUCCUCGAGGGGUGAGGGGAGAGCAGUGAUGACAGUCAGAUGACACUGAGUCCUCAGGAGGCCCUGGGAGGCAGGUGGAGUUCUCCUCACCCUUUCCAGAUGAGGAGAGAGGCUGAGGGGCCUGGGCAGGCCCAAGGCCACAGAGGAGCAAGUGUUGGAGCUGGGACUGAUCGAGAAUCAGAGCAUCUGGAAAACGGAGCAGCCACACACACGAGAUGUCCAGGGUCCAAGAUCAAGGGCCUGGGACACAUGCGGAAGGGAGCAUGGCCUCCCUGACCUUGUCCUUGACGCUGCAGGAAGCGACCUCUCUGUGGGAGACCCUGGAGAUGGAUCCCUGGAUAGCCCAGGAGAGGCAGCAGUGGCAGGUGAGGGUGCCUGUGGUGGGGAGGAGGGGUCCAUGUGUUCGAGGAGAGGGUGCUCCACCCUCACAGCUGGAGGCCUCCACCAAGAGAGGGGUCCCUCCUCCUCCAGCCCAGCUCCUGGCCAUGCAGAGCCUGAACCGGCUGCAUUAGAAGUGAGCAGGAGGAGGCCUGGCAGGGCUGGCCCAGGAGGGACUUGGGGUGGGGAGGAGCAGGGACCACAUUCCCUGGGAUCUGCAUAAAGCCAAGCCUGGGAGGUGACAGGGGAGAUUGGUGUUCCUGGAGGGGGCUCCUGGGGGAGACUGCUGAGGGUCCUGGGCUGCUCUAUGUGGGAGUCCGGGGUGGGCAGGAGGCUGGGGUGAGGGUUUUGGGGGGAGGGUCCCAUGGGGGCACAUGAAAGCCGGGACUCAUCACCAUUCCCACCCUGAUGGCUCAGGGUGUCGUCCCCUUCCUGGGCUCACUCCUCGAUUACCUGCAGCUGCUGGACACUGAGAUGGAGGAUUAUCUGAAGGAGUGUGAGCAUGGAGAGGGGAACAGGGAAGAGGAUCCAGAGGUUUGGGAGGCGAGAGCCCUGCACUGGGCCCUGAGCUCUCAGCACUUGGCAAAGCUCCUCUCCUGAGAACCUCCUGGCAGCCCCUGGAGCUGGGGCCUCAGGCACAUCUUAGCAAUGUGAGACCCAAGGCUCUGCAUAAGCCCCCCUCCAGGCUCCCUGGGCUGGGGGAGCUCAGAGCUGCCUCACUACAGAGCUGCGGGAGGUGGUGUCAGAGCUGGACUCAGCCUCUCCCUCAAGCCCUGCCCCUGGGGGAGUGAAGUCAGCCCCUGCAAGUCAGGAAGCACAUCCGUGGUCCAGCUGUCCCUUCCUUUCUGAGGGCUCAGUCUCCCUGUCUGUCAUCAGAGAGGUUGGAGCUACAGAGUCUGUGGCCUCAGUGACCCUGCCCCCCCUGCGCUGGAGCCCAGAGCCUGGCCCAGGUUCAGGCUCUCCUUGAGGCAGUGUCUGCCCUCUGCUGGGUCCUGGCAGUCCUGCAACUUGGGAAGGGGUGGGCUGGGGGCUAGUCAUGGGCCAAGGGGGCUGUUUCUGAUGGACAUUGGCUGUCUGCCUUCGAGGGAAAUAUGGUGAACUUCCAGAAAUGGAGUGAGGUGAGCAGCCGUGCCCUCGAUGUGGGGAGGGUGGGGCUGUGGAAAUCAGAGACCUCCCCUGCAAGACUUUCUCUGGCCUCAUCCCUUGGGUCUUAUCUUUAUUGCGAGAGUUAGAUACAGGCAGCUGGGGAUCCCAUCACAUUGGUGGGUGGGAGGAGGGGCUGACAUCGAGGACACCUUCCUGGAUGAGGAACUAUUUCAACCCUACUGUGAGAACAGGCAAGUCCUGAAUGGAGUGGGAGGGAAGGAGGGUUCCCAAUGAGCAAAGACCCCAGAGCAGCUCCUCACUACCCACAAGUUCCUGGCUGGGUUCCCCCCAGGCCCUGUCUGCAUCCUGUCCUUCCUCCCAGAAAUUCCAGGUCAUUAAAAGGAUCCAGCUGCUCCAGGAGGCUGCCAAUGAAUGCCACCUGCAGCCCGAGGAGCACUUUGGGGCCUGGUUCCAGGCCAUGGAGCCCCUCCAUGAGGAAGAGAGCUACAGCCUGUCCUGCCAGCUGGAGCCCCCAAACAUGAAGGUGAGCAAAAUGCGAGGCUUCUUCAGGACCAAGAAGAACCGGCCAUCCUCAAGAUUGGGGCUGACUGCCAUGCCCUUGGCAAGGAGCCAUCACACUCUAGAUGCCACCACAAGCUCAGCCUCUUCAGGCGCAGGGACAUGGCUGGGACCCUCGUGGUGCACCAGGCCAGCUCUUCCCACCCGGAUGUGAAGGAGGACAUUGUAAGCUCUUUCCUGGUUUUGCCUAAAUCCCAAAGGGGAGGGGACGACCCCCCUCCAGCUCCCUGACAUCUCUACCCCAGUGUCUAUUUGCCUAUUGGGGAGAGCAAUAUUAUUUAAUAGUAAGUGUCAGAUUUGAAUAUUAUACUAAAAUCCUGUUUCUGUUACAGCCUGGGAGUUGUGGUGUGGUUCAACUCCUGUGCUCAUAUAAAUGAGACACAGAACUUCACCUUCCUCCUUGAAUUAAGAACUGGUGCACGGUCACAGCUCAUUGUAUGUGGGACAAGGGAGGAAGGCCAGCCCCCUCCCUGGCAAGUUAAGGACCACCCAAGUCUCCCUUCCUUAGAGGACAGGUUCGUUUCAGUGUGGUUCCCCUGGGCCAGGAGUGGAGACAGCCCCUCAGAUCCCCCUGGAUUUAGAGGCCGGAGGGACUUUCCCAGCAGAGCAACCAGCACAGAAAUGUGGGUCUUUCAGAUGGCACUUGCCAGGACCAUGUCCUGCCCCGGGACAGUGGCUGCCUUUCUACAGCUUUUGAAGAAGGAAUGUUUUCUGCUUCUCUUGUGGAGCUUUCUUUUGAUCAAGUUUUGGAACGUGUAGUUUUCUAAUGAAUCUCUGGAAUUGCACUAACAGUAAAUGGGGAAAAAAUGUAAACAGAUAACUCUUUGCAUGUGGAAAGGACAAGGCCAGAGGAAGACCAUUUGCAGACGGACUAAGGGCAGGCAGGACAUCCCUCUGCAGGCCGCCUCUAGGGGCUCCCUGUUCACCCUUUACCUGGAUUGGACUCCUCCCGGGAUCCUGGUCCAUGAACUUGCAGGUCCUUUUCCUGCUUGUUUCCUAUCCAGAGGGAAAGAUUUGUGAUGCAGCUUUUAAAGCUACAACAGGGCUUUGUUGCAUAAGCGUCACUGCUCCCUGUGAACUAGAUUUCCAGCAUCCCUGCACUUCCUUCUACAAUUCUUUUUGGGCAGAAAUUCCCUAAGGCCCCAGCCUCUCUGUCAGGAACAUCGUGGCCAUUCCUACCUAGCCAGGCCUGAUGGAUCAGCCGUGAGCUCUGGUUUGCCCAGGAUAACGGACCUUAAUCCUGGGCAGUGCAUGACCCACACUCUCCCUUGCUGCCCAGGGUCCCAUGUGGUUCUGAGGUUCAUGCUCUCGGACAAACAAUAGUUUACACGCUCAGUCUUAUUGUUACCAGCUUGACCUAAAGGGUCAUCUGGGCUCAAUCCUAUAGAGCUUCUAGCCCCCAGGAUGGCUGUGUUCUUUUCCCCAGUCUUGUGCUGUGGUUAUGUGGUUAUGUGUUAUGGGGAUGUGAAACUUUCCUGUUGGGAGUUUUGAAAGAUAAGGCAUGAGAGGUGCCAGUAUAGAGAUGGGUCUAGCAGGGGAAUGCCACCAAACUGAUGAACAUGGGCCUACACACAACAACCUUACCAAUUCAAAUACUGAAACGCUUCCCAUCUGGGUAGUGAAGAUAUGAGCUCACCCUGAGAACCCGCCUCAUGACCAGGAGCUACAGGGUUAUCACCUGGCAUUUUGAACGUCAUCCCCUGAAACACUGUAAGACAAGGGCCACAUGAAUUCCUUGGUAGUUCUUCCUCCUCCUCGCUGAAGGCUGCAAGUGUCACCCUGGGAGGCCCUUUCAGUUCAGCCACAAGCCGAGUAUAAAUCCCGCUUCCGGCAGCCCAGGCCCUUCCUGACAGGGCACAGCCAUCCAGGAAAGAAAUAAUUCACAUAUUGGUGUAGACACAUAAACACACACACGCAUAUCCCACCCAAAGCCCAAGAUGCAUGAACUUCAGAGAUGAAAAGUGACUUCAGAAACAGAUCAACCAAUUGCAAACGAAGGGUUUCAUUAAGAUCCUGACUCAAAUAAAAUGUAAAACCAAGAAACAACCUGGAGAAAACUGGGAGACUUUGGAGGCUGACUAGGUAGUUGAUUAUAGGAGUGACAUUUUUACUUUUGUGUGUGAUAACUUUGUUGUGUUUGAGUCCCAAAAAUCUCUCAUCUGUAAGAGAAACUGAUAUAUUUACACCUGAAAUGAUGUGCUCUCGGCAUCUACAGCUGGCUAAUUCCAGGGGGUGGGUGUAAAGAUAAAGCCAGAUGGUUUAUGAGUUGACAAUCUCUGAUGCAAGUGACAGGUUCACAGAGGUUGAUUUUCCCUACUCUGAGAUUUGGAGAUUUUUGAAAACUUUCAGAAGACAAGUUUCAUAAAAAUAGUAUAAUCACUGUUCACAUUACAAUGUUAAAAAUGAAAACAUUGCAAAUAUGAAGAAAUGCUUCUUCUUCCCGACCUGGGGAAGCUCUGUCUGUCUGGCUUCUGUGAAUGACCUGAUGAUGCCACUGAUUAUUCAUUUAUCUCAUGUUUAUUGAAUAAGUACUAUGUGCUCUGUACUGCGAGCAAGGUGAAUGCAUUUCCACAUCUCCAGAUCUAGUGUGGGAAUGAAGGCACUGAGCCGGCUGCCAAGAUUCUCUACGUGGAAAAUAAUGCCCCACGGGGCAUGGUCAUUGUUAAGAUUCCAAAAUCAAAGCUAGACAAGUUUGCCAUGGAACAAAUCAGAGGUACUUAAUUUAUGAUAUAGAAAUUACCUAUGUCUGAAUUAACAUGUGACAAAGGCUGAAGGAUUUUGUUAAAAUUAGAUGCAAAAUCAUAAUUUAUGAAAUCAGAUUUCAUAUCACAUUAAGAGAUAAAUCUCAUUGAGUAGGUAUUAUCUGUUCAUUGAGUGUAGAAAAAACAAAUGUAAGUUCAAAACACUAAUUCCUCAGCCUCAAUUAUCCUAUUGAUUUUAAUAUAAACAGGAAGAAAAAUCAUGGUAAAUAAAAAUCGAGGUUACCCAUGAAAGGUAAGGAUCAUGAUGGAUGUUACAAAGAGAUGCUGUGGGGGUCAAGGCUGUCUCCUGGUGGAUUUCUCACUGCACCACUCUCCUUUCCUUCAGCACCAAUAUCGCUUUCCUCACGGUGUUUUCAGGUGCCUUUCUUGGCUCUUGCUCUCUCUGCCUCCCUGGCAAACUCCUCUGUUCUCAAGCCAACAGUCAGUCUUUCCCAUGCUUUUCUUCACUUGCAACAUCUGUCUCCUAAUAUCUCCAGAAGUUGCCUGUUGCCUGUUGCCUGCAGAGGGGCUGGGAGAGACCCAGACCCGUUCCUGGACUCAUCUCUGCCCAAUACGGACACUGGUCAGGAGUGGGCUAGGGUUGGUGUGCAGAUCCCUCAGCUCAAGCCAUGGCCCAGGGAUUCACCUAGACCACCUGGUGCAAUUAUCUUUAAGAUAUUUGUGAAUCAGAAGGACUUAAAAGUUCUCCUUCGCUGCUGCCAGCCUUGAGGCCCUGCAGUCUCUCCUCUCCACAGACUCACCGGGGCUUCUCCAAGGUCUCCUCCCACUGACGGCCCCUGACCUCACGGCCAGGAUGGGAAGUUAUCCGACUACCUGGCCUCUGGAAUAUGCAGCUGCUCAGCCUUCAGUGUGUACAGAGCUGCAGGUUUCUGCUUGGUUUUAGUUUUGUUGUCUCAUUGUUUCCACCAUGAAAUUGGGGCAUAUUUUUUGAACUUUCUCUUUAAAAAUAAAAUGUGAAAUUUGAACAAAAUGGGGGAUGAAGACUACCAUCCAUGGAGAAUGUUCUCAGCUCAUUUGGCUAUUCCACCCUCCUUCCCUCCCUGGAGAAUGUGUCUCAAAUGUGAAUCACAACCAUCUGGAGGGUUUUUAAAACUCAGAUUGCUGGACCUCAACUCAAGUCAAUCUGGGGUGGGAAUGGAGAAUGUUCAUUUCUAAGAUGUUCCCAGGUGACAUUGAUGCUGCUAGUAUAGGUACCACAUGUUGAGAAUGGGAUUCUGGGACAUCAUCAAGCCCAUGUGAGACAAGGACAGAAAGUUCAAGGUCAUUAUCCAAUGUCAAAUCCAGACAAACCUCCCUCCUCCAUCUUGCUUCAGGAUGUUACUCUCUCCCCUUCUCCGUCAUUGUCAACUACACACAUUCUGGUACCAAGUAACCCACUAUCAUUAGGACUCAGUGAUCCAAGGGCCCCGUAGCUCCUUUUAGAGUGCCAUCUCUAAUGAAAUCACGCACUAUUCCACCCUUAGACACCCUCACUCCACAGCAAAAUCCUGUCUUAACCCCAAAUUCUCCUGCUCACAAAUCAGGAACUCAAACAGCACAUUCCUACCACAAAUUUCCACAGUUCCUGUUUUUACACAAAGAACCCUAAUGUAAAUAACCAACCUUCAAGAAAACAGUUUACUCCAGUAUGAAUAUCUUCACAAGGCUCUCUUCUUUCUCUCUUCCUAUUCCUUUCUUUCAAUCUUGGUUUCUGUGGUCCAUCAUUUCAAUCAUCCACUGACCAUGCUCCCAGAUUCAUCACUCCCAUCACAUUGGCCCUGUAAGCCUCUGACUUUGGAUAAUUUCAAAUACCUGCCAUGCCACGUUGACACCUGCACUGAGGAUCACCAGCGAAGAGAGAGCACACGAGGAGUCUGUGG
rnacentral:lncRNA from 1 species